rnacentral:rRNA from 1 species
GUAAACCCAAGGUUUCCAGGGGAAGGUUCGUCCGCCCUGGGUUAGUCGGGACCUAAGCUGAGGCCGAAAGGCGUAGGUGAUGGACAACAGGUUGAUAUUCCUGUACUACCGAUAACCGUUUGAGAGAAGGGAUGACACAGUAGGAUAAGCUAAGCACACUGUUGGUUAUGUGUGCCCAAGCAUUGAGGCAGUCAAAGUAGGCAAAUCCGCUUUGAUAAUGCUAGGAUGUGAUGGGGAGCGAAAUUUAGUAGCGAAGUAGCUGAUUUCACACUGUCAAGAAAAGUCUCUAUCGAGGUUAAAGGUACCCGUACCGCAAACCGACACAGGUGGGUGAGGAGAGUAUCCUAAGGCCAGCGAGAGAACUGUUGUUAAGGAACUCGGCAAAAUGACCCCGUAACUUAGGGAUAAGGGGUGCCACCAUCAGGUGGCCGCAGAGAAUAGGCCCAAGCGACUGUUUACCAAAAACAUAGGUUUCUGCUAAGUCGCAAGACGAUGUAUAGGAGCUGACGCCUGCCCGGUGCUGGAAGGUUAAGGGGAUCUGUUAGAGCAAUCGAAGCAGUGAACUUAAGCCCCAGUAAACGGCGGCCGUAACUAUAACGGUCCUAAGGUAGCGAAAUUCCUUGUCGGGUAAGUUCCGACCCGCACGAAAGGCGUAACGAUUUGGGCACUGUCUCAACAACAGACUCGGUGAAAUUGUAAUUCCGGUGAAGAUGCCGGAUACCUGCGACAGGACGGAAAGACCCCAUGGAGCUUUACUGUAGCUUGACAUUGGGUCUUGGUACUACAUGUACAGGAUAGGUGGGAGGCUUUGAAACCAGGACGCCAGUUUUGGCGGAGCCAUCCUUGGGAUACCACCCUUGUAGUACUGGGACUCUAACCAUAGGCCAUGAAUCUGGUCUUGGGACACUGUCAGGUGGGCAGUUUGACUGGGGCGGUCGCCUCCCAAAAGGUAACGGAGGCGCUCAAAGGUUCUCUCAGUACGGUCGGAAAUCGUACGUAGAGUGUAAAGGCAAAAGAGAGCUUGAUUGCAAGACAUACAGGUCGAGCAAGGAUGAAAAUCGGACUUAGUGAUCCGGUGGUUCUGCGUGGAAGGGCCAUCGCUCAACGGAUAAAAGCUACCCUGGGGAUAACAGGCUUAUCUCCCCCAAGAGUCCACAUCGACGGGGAGGUUUGGCACCUCGAUGUCGGCUCAUCACAUCCUGGGGCUGUAGUAGGUCCCAAGGGUUGGGCUGUUCGCCCAUUAAAGUGGUACGCGAGCUGGGUUCAGAACGUCGUGAGACAGUUCGGUCCCUAUCCGUCGCAGGCGUAGGAAAUUUGAGAAGACCUGUCCUUAGUACGAGAGGACCGGGAUGGACG